GACGAACGCUGGCGGCGGGCUUAACACAUGCAAGUCGAACGGAAAGGCCCUGCUUUUGUGGGGUGCUCGAGUGGCGAACGGGUGAGUAACACGUGAGUAACCUGCCCUUGACUUUGGGAUAACUUCAGGAAACUGGGGCUAAUACCGGAUAGGAGCUCCUGCUGCAUGGUGGGGGUUGGAAAGUCUCGGCGGUUGGGGAUGGACUCGCGGCUUAUCAGCUUGUUGGUGGGGUAGGGGCUUACCAAGGCUUUGACGGGUAGCCGGCCUGAGAGGGUGACCGGCCACAUUGGGACUGAGAUACGGCCCAGACUCCUACGGGAGGCAGCAGUGGGGAAUAUUGCACAAUGGGCGGAAGCCUGAUGCAGCAACGCCGCGUGCGGGAUGACGGCCUUCGGGUUGUAAACCGCUUUCGCCUGUGACGAAGCGUGAGUGACGGUAAUGGGUGAAGAAGCACCGGCUAACUACGUG
rnacentral:rRNA from 1 species